rnacentral:lncRNA from 1 species
CUUGAACUAACAGACAUCUGUCUGCCUCUGAAUACUUGACUCCUGGGAUUAAAGCUGUGUACCACCAAUACCUGAUUUCUAUAGCUUCAGACUGACUUUGCUUUCUGAAUCCUCAGGAACCCACACCACAAGCCUGAGUGUGCAGAGGGGAUGUGUGGAACAGCCAGCAAUGGCACUAGAGCUCCAUCACAACCAUAGUAGCUCUCACUUAAACCACACAAUCCUGACCACUGUAGUUCAGAUGUAACUGGUGAGUAUAUCUUAAAACUUAUAUAUUUAAUUUAAUGACAACAGUGAUGUACAAACUGUUCAAAA